rnacentral:rRNA from 1 species
GACGAACGCUGGCGGCGUGCUUAACACAUGCAAGUCGAACGGAAAGGCCCUGCUUUUGUGGGGUGCUCGAGUGGCGAACGGGUGAGUAACACGUGAGUAACCUGCCCUUGACUUUGGGAUAACUUCAGGAAACUGGGGCUAAUACCGGAUAGGAGCUCCUGCUGCAUGGUGGGGGUUGGAAAGUUUCGGCGGUUGGGGAUGGACUCGCGGCUUAUCAGCUUGUUGGUGGGGUAGUGGCUUACCAAGGCUUUGACGGGUAGCCGGCCUGAGAGGGUGACCGGCCACAUUGGGACUGAGAUACGGCCCAGACUCCUACGGGAGGCAGCAGUGGGGAAUAUUGCACAAUGGGCGGAAGCCUGAUGCAGCAACGCCGCGUGCGGGAUGACGGCCUUCGGGUUGUAAACCGCUUUCGCCUGUGACGAAGCGUGAGUGACGGUAAUGGGUAAAGAAGCACCGGCUAACUACGUGCCAGCAGCCGCGGUGAUACGUAGGGUGCGAGCGUUGUCCGGAUUUAUUGGGCGUAAAGGGCUCGUAGGUGGUUGAUCGCGUCGGAAGUGUAAUCUCGGGGCUUAACCCUGAGCGUGCUUUCGAUACGAGUUGACUUGAGGAAGGUAGGGGAGAAUGGAAUUCCUGGUGGAGCGGUGGAAUGCGCAGAUAUCAGGAGGAACACCAGUGGCGAAGGCGGUUCUCUGGGCCUUUCCUGACGCUGAGGAGCGAAAGCGUGGGGAGCGAACAGGCUUAGAUACCCUGGUAGUCCACGCUGUAAACGGUGGGUACUAGGUGUGGGGUCCAUUCCACGGGUUCCGUGCCGUAGCUAACGCUUUAAGUACCCCGCCUGGGGAGUACGGCCGCAAGGCUAAAACUCAAAGGAAUUGACGGGGCCCCGCACAAGCGGCGGAGCAUGCGGAUUAAUUCGAUGCAACGCGUAGAACCUUACCUGGGUUUGACAUGGAUCGGGAGUGCUCAGAGAUGGGUGUGCCUCUUUUGGGGUCGGUUCACAGGUGGUGCAUGGCUGUCGUCAGCUCGUGUCGUGAGAUGUUGGGUUAAGUCCCGCAACGAGCGCAACCCUUGUUCACUGUUGCCAGCACGUUAUGGUGGGGACUCAGUGGAGACCGCCGGGGUCAACUCGGAGGAAGGUGGGGAUGACGUCAAGUCAUCAUGCCCCUUAUGUCCAGGGCUUCACGCAUGCUACAAUGGCUGGUACAGAGAGUGGCGAGCCUGUGAGGGUGAGCGAAUCUCGGAAAGCCGGUCUCAGUUCGGAUUGGGGUCUGCAACUCGACCUCAUGAAGUCGGAGUCGCUAGUAAUCGCAGAUCAGCAACGCUGCGGUGAAUACGUUCCCGGG